CACACAGCGUCUAUACGACAUGGUGGCAGCGGCAACAACAAUACUACAACGAGAAUAAAAGGUGCUGUCGCUGUUGCGUUCCUACCUUGCAGGCACACACAGAGCCCAGUCAGGAAAUGAACAGGAAUGUGACCUCUCCAGUGCCCUUUUUCUGCGGCUGUGGCUCGCCACAAGGCAGAGUCCAUGCCUGGUGACACGUGGUGCGUUUCUAGAUCUGCUGGGCUGUGGUUGUGGUUGUCUUCCUGUUCCUGUAUCAGAGUCACAGCUGAAAAAACUGUGUGAGGAAACUCUGCAGAUACUUAUGGCCUCAGAGCCUGUGGCCCCUCAGGGGCCCAAUGACAUGAAGCUCUCAGUCCCUGGAGCCACACAGUACCUGCAGAAUCUGGCUCACAUAGCCAUCAGCAUCUGUGUGGAAUCACCUCACCUGUGGAACUGUCCAGAGUCUGAGGGGUUUCAGAGAGACCUCCUGGAGCGACUCUAUGAGGUUCGGCUGUUUCCCCUGGAACAGUUCUUCAGGUGACUUCAGAAGACAGAGGAAGAGUGUCAACAUGGUCAGGGACCCUUGCCCUUUGACCUCAGUGUGUCCAGAUUGACCUCCCUGGCCCUUCAUGAGACUUACCCUGGGUGUCAAGCCAAGGUUCUGCAGGUUCUUGCUGUCCUCCUCCUUUCUUCCCUGCUGCACUGGAGAGAUGGGAUCACGUCUUUGAACUGUCAGGAGUUUCUAGAGUAUCCACUCUGGACCUCUACACACAGCGGGACCUCAGUGAGGCUGCAGUGGUCUGUCUGAGCAAAUGGGAGGUGCUGGUCGUGUAGGGCUGCGGUGAGGAACAACCUGCAGAAUUCAAACUCAUGUCAGCAGAGGUGCUGGUGAAGGCAGUCCCUACCUUACUGACGGCACCAGCCCUGCCUCUGGGCGAGUGGACAUCUAUGGACAAGAACAAGAUGAAGAUAAGGAUGUCAGGGACGGAGCAGCUGACUUCACCUGCUACAUACCGGCCCAUUUACACAACACAGAUGUUGCCACGGGUGCCGUCUCUCCUCCGGUUGCCCUGGAGAUGGGGGUGGGUGUUCUAUGCUAGCUGUUCCAGAUGUGGGGCCAGGUGGCUGCUGCAAUGGUGAACCGGAUAGAAUGGCUCCUGGGAGAUGAAAAUCAGAUACAAGUUGUGAGGAGUCACUGGACUUGGCUUUUUAAACUUUGGAACAGAACUCGUCCCCCUUUUGUGCUACAGGCACACAUGACAUCAAAAUCUUGACAUUAAAUUGGCAACUUGUUGAGGAGAGGUGUGCAGAUUGUUUUUUUGUUUUUUUUUUUGAAAUGUAAAAGUUACACAGUGGAUUAUAAAAUUUUGUAGAAAAUCCCAUAGACUUACAUUGAUGGACCGAUAGAGUGCAACAGUGCCCAUCCACGGCUUUAAUGACAUAAUAGAAACAAUAUAUUUUGUUUAUUGCAAACUAUGUAUUAACAUACAAAUAUUGAAAUAACUUGAGAGCAUAUAGAGACUGAGUCAAGUAUGUCAUUACGGGUGCUAAAGAAUUCUUUUGUGAUUUGUGCAUUACUCUGCAGAAUCAUCCCACCAGGAAUUCCUCUAUUAAACAUGAUUAUUUAAAAAAAUUAGUUGAAGUAAUGGAGUAAACGCUUCAACAAAAUCAUAUACCAUUGAUUUACAACCUCACUGCUCACAGUGAUUCUGUCUUUAAAGGUGUAUAAGUUAUGGUUCAGUAUCUAUAAAUUGGAUUUUUAGUUUCAGAACCAACUGUUGUACUUUAUAUGACCUGUCUAAUAAAAUGGGCCAAUAAGCAUUUACUUGUUAACACCCUAGAAAUCACCCAGAACACCCUACUCACUCAAAACACCUUAGCAAACAUAGCAACACCCUUAAAGUGCCCAUUGUCUCCACUCUCAAUGCCCUGCUCACAUUGUCUUCAGAAAAUCUAGUUUAAGAAUGUAAGUUCUUCGUAUUCUCUCUCUCUCUUUUUUUU